CCAAUAGCGUAUAUUAAAGUUGUUGCAGUUAAAAAGCUCGUAGUUGAACUUCGGGGUCUACCCAUUGGUCAGGCUUAAUUGUCUGCACUGGUGAGAUGGAUCUCUACCUUCUGAGGAACUUUCAUGCCAUUUAUUUGGUGUGAUUGGAAAUCAGGACUGUUACUUUGAAAAAAUUAGAGUGUUUAAAGCAGACUAUCGUCUGAAUACAUUAGCAUGGAAUAAUGAAAUAGGACGGACUGAUUCUAUUUCGUUGGUUUCUAGGAUCACCGUAAUGAUUAAUAGGGAUAGUUGGGGGCAUUAGUAUUCAAUUGUCAGAGGUGAAAUUCUUGGAUUUAUUGAAGACUAACUACUGCGAAAGCAUUUGCCAAGGAUGUUUUCAUUAAUCAAGAACGAAAGUUAGGGGAUCGAAGACGAUCAGAUACCGUCGUAGUCUUAACCAUAAACUAUGCCGACUAGGGAUCGGACGAAGUUAAUUUUAUAAUGACGCGUUCGGCACCUUACG
rnacentral:ncRNA from 2 species